CAACAUCCAAAGAGCAACACUACAUCCUCUUCUCUUGUCUCUGAGAAAACCUACUGAAGGUAAAAUCACUGCAACCAUGCUGAAGGUAGCACUUAUUCUUGGAUGCCUCCUGAGCCUCAUUGUGGCUGAAACUAUGGAAGAACAGCGUUUUGCUCGUUCACACGGUAGUUCUAACUCCAGAGAGAAAACUACGACCACGACUACGGUUGCAGGAGCAACUACAGCUUCAUUAACUCUGACCCAGCUCCUGGCCCUGCUCCGACAACUACUCAAUCAGUAAUGAUCAAAUUCUGUGGCUGCUGUUUUAACCAGAUGCCUUCUAUUCACUCAACAAUUGGACAAAUAUCAUUCUUCACCAAGUUUUGACUAAAAAUAAACAUGUUCAGUGCAAAA